rnacentral:rRNA from 1 species
AUUGAACGCUGGCGGCAGGCCUAACACAUGCAAGUCGAGCGGAUGAAGGGAGCUUGCUCCUGGAUUCAGCGGCGGACGGGUGAGUAAUGCCUAGGAAUCUGCCUUGUAUUGGGGGAUAACGUCCGGAAACGGGCGCUAAUACUGCAUACGUCCUGAGGGAGAAAGUGGGGGGUCUUCGGACCUCUCGCUAUCAGAUGAGCCUAGGUCUGAUUAGCUAGUUGGUGGGGUAAAGGCCUACCAAGGCGACGAUCCGUAACUGGUCUGAGAGGAUGAGCAGUCACAUGGGAACUGAGACAGGGUCCAGACUCCUACGGGAGGCAGCAGUGGGGAAUAUUGGUCAAUGGGCGAAAGCCUGAUCCAGCCAUGCCGCGUGUGUGAAGAAGGUCUUCGGAUUGUAAAGCACUUUAAGUUGGGAGGUAGGGCAGUAAGUUAAUACCUUGCUGUAUUGACGUUACCAACAGAAUAAGCACCGGCUAACUUCGUG